rnacentral:rRNA from 1 species
UACGGGGGGGGCAAGCGUUGUUCGGAAUUACUGGGCGUAAAGGGCGCGUAGGCGGCCAUCUAAGUCAGACGUGAAAUCCCUCGGCUCAACCGAGGAACUGCGUCUGAUACUGGAAGGCUUGAAUCCGGGAGAGGGAUGUGGAAUUCCAGGUGUAGCGGUGAAAUGCGUAGAUAUCUGGAGGAACACCGGUGGCGAAGGCGGCAUCCUGGACCGGCAUUGACGCUGAGGCGCGAAAGCCAGGGGAGCAAACGGG